rnacentral:rRNA from 1 species
AUGCUUGCUAAGUAUGAUGUUAAUCAUAGAAUUGCAUCUCCUUAUCACCCACAGUCUAGUGGUCAAGUAGAAUUUAGGAAUAGAGAGCUCAAAUUAAUUUUGCAAAAGACUGUUAAUGGAUCUAGAAAGAAUUGGUCCAAGAAACUUGAUGAUGCAUUAUGGUCCUAUAGAAGUGCAUAUAAAAAUCCUAUGGGUAUGUCUCCGUAUAAAAUGGUUUAUGGAAAAGCAUGUCACUUACAUCUAGAACUAGAACAUAAGGCAUAUUGGGCCAUUAAAGAGCUCAAUUAUGAUUUCAAACUUGCCGGUGAGAAGAGGUUAUUUGACAUUAGCUCACUUGAUGAAUGGAGAACCCAAGCCUAUGAGAAUGCCAAAUUAUUUAAAGAAAAAGUUAAAAGAUGGCAUGACAAAAGAAUACAAAAGCGUGAGUUUAAUGUAGGUGAUUAUGUAUUGCUAUACAACUCUCGUUUAAGAUUUUUUGCAGGAAAACUUCUCUCUAAUUGGGAAGGCCCUUACGUUAUCGAGGAGGUCUAUCGUUCCGGUGCCAUAAAAAUCAACAACUUUGAAGGCACAAAUCAGAAGGUGGUGAACGGUUAA